GUCCCCGUGGUUCAAUGGAUAGAAUAGGACCCUUCUAAGGUCAAGAUCCAAGUUCGAUUCUUGGCGGGGAUACCA
rnacentral:tRNA from 1 species